rnacentral:rRNA from 1 species
UACGUAGGGGGCAAGCGUUGUCCGGAUUUAUUGGGCGUAAAGAGCGUGUAGGCGGUUUGGUAGGUCCGCUGUGAAAACUCGAGGCUCAACCUCGAGACGCCGGUGGAAACCAUCAGACUAGAGUCCGGAAGAGGAGAGUGGAAUUCCUGGUGUAGCGGUGGAAUGCGCAGAUAUCAGGAGGAACACCGGUGGCGAAGGCGGGUCUCUGGGCCGUUACUGACGCUGAGGAGCGAAAGCGUGGGGAGCGAACAGG